rnacentral:rRNA from 1 species
UACGGAGGAUGCAAGCGUUAUCCGGAAUGAUUGGGCGUAAAGCGUCCGCAGGUGGCUAUGUAAGUCUGCUGUCAAAGCGUCUGGCUCAACCAGAUAAAGGCAGUGGAAACUACAUAGCUAGAGUAAGGUAGGGGUAGAGGGAAUUCCUGGUGUAGCGGUGAAAUGCGUAGAGAUCAGGAAGAACACCGGUGGCGAAAGCGCUCUGCUGGACCGUAACUGACACUGAGGGACGAAAGCUAGGGGAGCGAAUGGG